GACUUUUAAUAUUUAAUUUUUUUUACAUCUAAAAUAUCCUUAUUUUUAUUUUAUUAUUUCAAAAUUAUUCAUUUUCUUUCAUUUGACUACUUCUCUUUUGUAUGAGUUUUCUUUGUUGCUUUCGUCAAUUUAUUAUAGUUUUUCUCCACCUUUAAAUUAUUUUCAUAUUUUUGUGCUUAACAUAAGUUAUAAUCAUUCCUUUUUUUUACAACUUUU
rnacentral:lncRNA from 1 species